AGGGGGCGACACCCACACUUCCAAAACCUAAAAAUCUACUAAACUUUCAAAUUGAAGGCCAAAAUUCAGUUGAAAUCGGAAUCUAAACAUAGAAUCGUGAUCUCCUCGUCAAGAAGGUCAUAAGGCAAGGAAUCCGGAACGUCAAGUGGACACGCCGGAAGCGAUACCCGCGGAAAAGGUGUGCUUUAAAGGUAUGAAUGAGGUCCUCCCGGAUGGCGAUCAAGUACAUGUCAAGAACCGAACACAUAACUCGAAGCUUCCGCACUAAACUUAAUUUUGUCUAAACUUUAAACAUGUUGUAUUUUCUUUUGUUGAUCAUGUUUUAAAUCCCUCGAACUAGUGAUUAGUUUACUAGCAGGGGAUUACUUUUAUCUAGUUAUGCACUAUCUUGGAUGUGGUUGGUAUCAUCACAAGUGUGUAUGGAAUUAAACUCGAAAGGUUUUUGUAA